UACGUAGGGGGCUAGCGUUGUCCGGAAUUAUUGGGCGUAAAGAGCGUGUAGGCGGUUCGAUAAGUCUGCUGUGAAAGUCAGGGGCUCAACCCUUGAAAGCCGGUGGAUACUGUCGGACUAGAGUACGGAAGAGGCGAGUGGAAUUCCUGGUGUAGCGGUGAAAUGCGCAGAUAUCAGGAGGAACACCAAUUGCGAAGGCAGCUCGCUGGGACGUUACUGACGCUGAGACGCGAAAGCGUGGGGAGCAAACAGG
rnacentral:rRNA from 1 species